GGRAGUUGGCSACGCCCGRAGUCGUUACUCUAACCGUUCGCGGGGGAGGGCGCCGAAGGCAGGGCUGAUGACUGGGGUGAAGUCGUAACAAGGUAGCCGUACCGGAAGGUGUGGCUGGAUCACCUCCUUUUAGGGAGACCUACCCUUGAUAACUCUGAACCAUUUUUAUUAGGAGUAUCGAGCGGUCACUCUAGGUCGUUCAGGAACUUGAGUGGAAUUUCUAAGCUAUGGUUGAGGUUUCUUUUUCAUCUUUAGUUCGUCUUUGGUGACGAGCUAGUGAGAGAUGAGGAAAAACACUAAGGGCUAUUAGCUCAGGUGGUUAGAGCGCACCCCUGAUAAGGGUGAGGUCCCUGGUUCGAGUCCAGGAUGGCCCACUGCGUGGGGGUUUAGCUCAGUUGGUAGAGCGCCUGCUUUGCAAGCAGGAUGUCAGCGGUUCGAGUCCGCUAACCUCCACUGAGAGCGAGCAUUCAGCACAGUAUGUCUUGAUUGAGUCAAUCAGAGAUGUAGUCUGCUGGGUGAGAGCCUAGCAAAGAACCUUGAAAACUGCAUAGUUAGAGAAGUGUAAGGUAGUACACACAGAUMUUGAGUCGAGAGUAAAGCGCGAUUCCAAUCUGUUGCUGAGUCUGAAAGGACGAGGUAAUGGAGCGGACAAAGGGUCAAG
rnacentral:misc_RNA from 1 species